GACGAACGCUGGCGGCAUGCCUAACACAUGCAAGUCGAACGGAACUUUGAGAAUGAAGUUUUCGGAUGGAUUUUUUAAAGUUUAGUGGCGGACGGGUGAGUAACGCGUGAGCAACCUGCCUUUCAGAGGGGGACAACAGUUGGAAACGACUGCUAAUACCGCAUAAUGUAUCGAGAUCGCAUGACCUUGAUACCAAAGAUUUUAUCGCUGAAAGAUGGGCUCGCGUACGAUUAGAUAGUUGGUGGGGUAACGGCUCACCAAGGCGACGAUCAGUAGCCGGUCUGAGAGGAUGAACGGCCACAUUGGGACUGAGAUACGGCCCAGACUCCUACGGGAGGCAGCAGUGGGGAAUAUUGGGCAAUGGGGGAAACCCUGACCCAGCAACGCCGCGUGAAGGAGAAGGCCUGGUGUAACUCUUUACCUAGGACGAAGAACGUGACGGUACCUGG
rnacentral:rRNA from 1 species